AUUGAACGCUGGCGGCAGGCCUAACACAUGCAAGUCGAGCGGAUGAAUGGAGCUUGCUCCUGUAUUCAGCUGCGGACGGGUGAGUAAUGCCUAGGAAUCUGCCUGAUAUUGGGGGCUAACGUCCGUUCACGGGCGCUAAUACCGCAUCCGUCCUGAUGGUGAAAGUGGGGGAUCUUCGGACCACACGCUAUCUGAUGAGCCUAGGUCGGAUUAGCUAGUUGGUGGGGUAAAGGCGUACCAAGGCGACGAUCCGUAACUGGUCUGAGAGGAUGAUCAGUCACACUGGAACUGAGACACGGUCCAGACUCCUACGGGAGGCAGCAGUAGGGAAUAUUGGACAAUGGGCGAAAGCCUGACGCAGCCAUGCCGCGUGUGUGAAGAAGGUCUUCGGAUUGUAAAGCACUUUAAGUUGGGAGGAAGAGAAGUAAGUUAAUACCUUGCUGUUUUGACGUUACCAACAGAAUAAGCACCGGCUAACUUCGUG
rnacentral:rRNA from 1 species